UACAGAGGGGGCAAGCGUUGUUCGGAAUUACUGGGCGUAAAGGGCGCGUAGGCGGCCUGUUAAGUCGAACGUGAAAUCCCCGGGCUCAACCCGGGAACUGCGUCCGAUACUGCCGUGCUUGAGGACUGGAGAGGAGACUGGAAUUUACGGUGUAGCGGUGAAAUGCGUAGAUAUCGUAAGGAAGACCAGUGGCGAAGGCGGGUCUCUGGACAGUUCCUGACGCUGAGGCACGAAGGUCAGGGGAGCAAACGGG
rnacentral:rRNA from 1 species